GCUAUGUUGGUAGGGACAACUGAGCUUGUUGAUGAAUACCAACGAUUCUGAUGGCA
rnacentral:snoRNA from 1 species